GAGACUGGAGGCUAGGCCAUCGCUGGGCUCAGAGGACAUCACAGCUGGCUUCUCCAGUCCUGGACUCCCAGGAGACGGCUUCAGAAUGGUCGCCUCUCAGCCUGUCUGGCCCCACGCACUGCCUGGAGAGAUCAGCCCACUGCUGGCUGGAUCCAGAGGUGACCUGGUACCUCCUCCUUCCUCCACAGCCUGCCUUCUUUUUCUCAAAAGCCAUGAAAAAGGAGAUAAUGGAGAUGAAUCAUCUGGCUUCGGGCGGAACAAACAGGCUGUCUGUGACCAGGAGCCCAGGAUGGAAACCCUAGCCUCUACCUGACGGAGGGGUUGGCAAGAGUGGGGCAGAGCUGAGUACCAGGCUCCGGUCCAGAUGCCUUGUGAGCUGGCAUACCUCACUGCCUGCCUUUCUCCCUGCCCAGGUUGGAAACCUGGGGGGCCAGGCUCCUAGGCAAGGCCUUUGAAGGGACACCUGACUCAGCGGGACCUCAGCUUGCCAUUACCCCUUGAUGUCACCCCCUCCUUGCUCAUGCUAUAGAGGGACUGGGGAGAGGACAGAGGGGUCUAUCUGCACUGGGCCUUCUCUGGUGAACUUUAAGAAAGCUCAGAGGUGAACUGGCCCAAGGCCCAGGGGCUGAUGGGAGGUGGUUUGGCAGCUGUCUUCAGAAGAGGAGAUCGGAGAGCGGAAGGGAAAAAAGAGGACUCUAGUGUCCCCCAC
ensembl:lincRNA Gm15458 predicted gene 15458